rnacentral:rRNA from 1 species
GAUGAACGCUGGCGGCGUGCCUAAUACAUGCAAGUCGAGCGAACAGACGAGGAGCUUGCUCCUCUGACGUUAGCGGCGGACGGGUGAGUAACACGUGGAUAACCUACCUAUAAGACUGGGAUAACUUCGGGAAACCGGAGCUAAUACCGGAUAAUAUAUUGAACCGCAUGGUUCAAUAGUGAAAGACGGUUUUGCUGUCACUUAUAGAUGGAUCCGCGCCGCAUUAGCUAGUUGGUAAGGUAACGGCUUACCAAAGCAACGAUGCGUAGCCGACCUGAGAGGGUGAUCGGCCACACUGGAACUGAGACACGGUCCAGACUCCUACGGGAGGCAGCAGUAGGGAAUCUUCCGCAAUGGGCGAAAGCCUGACGGAGCAACGCCGCGUGAAUGAUGAAGGUCUUCGGAUCGUAAAACUCUGUUAUUAGGGAAGAACAAAUGUGUAAGUAACUAUGCACGUCUUGACGGUACCUAAUCAGAAAGCCACGGCUAACUACGUG